AACCACAAGAUAGAAAUGUUUCCACUCGCAAAAAACUGAAACUAUCCACGUUGGCAAGGGUAUGAGAGAAAGGGCUUCAUUAAGCGUUUGCUGCACACCAAGCCCCAGACCAGGCCAACCAAGCAAAGAUGGAGUGCCUUCCCUCUAGAAGCUUGCAGUCUGGCAGGAAACAAACACAGACUACAGCAAGGUCAUGUGCAGUGGAUGAGAACCGCCUGGUGAGAGCACUGGAGCAAAUCCUGAGCUGUGGCAGUGGUCAGAGAAGACCUCACGAGGACUAGAUGUGAGCUGAGACCAAGACAAAGAAGAGGUGGGGAGUGUCCUCUGGGCCGAGGGCGUGUGAGAGCAGGACUUGUUCCAGGGCCAGUGAUAUGUAACGUGCUGUCGUAGGAUGAAGAGCUGGGUGCCAGGACCACUGAGAAACAGCCAGGGAGUAAGCAGGUCAAGAAGUGCCUGGUAAAUCAAGAAUUAAGAAUUGACUCAGCCAGCCAGUGGUUUUCAGAUUACCCUUUGGUUUUUCAAAUAACGUGCUUCUGAGGUUCCACAAGCAUCUUAUUCAAAUCUCCUCUUCAGGAAUAUUUUCUACUAAUUUAAAACCUGCAAUACAAAAGAAAUACCUACCCUCUGAAAUGUUUUAUAUACCACAGUUUAAUGCCUUAACUUGUGCUUCCAAAAUCUAGAUGAACAUGUUUUGGUGCAGGCCAGAGGAAAGCAUCUGUCAUCGCUGCGAACACAAUAGAAUUUCUGACAAAUGUGUCAUUGUUUGGGAAGGCUGAGCGCUGCCCAACCCUCUUUGGAUUCGUGCCUGUACAAGGCAGGUAUAAUCAGAGCAGAGAGGAGGCCUGAAAGUCAGCAGAAGUUCAGACACAUCAGCUCAGCACAGAAUCUUGGAACACUGAGAGUUCGCGAAAACUCAUUGACCGCCUUGUGGUAAUAACAUCAAGCCAGAGAGAGUCUUAACACAUUGUGACUGCUGCCACCUCCGGCUGAUGCCCUGAGUCACGAAAUGGCUGCAGCAACUCCAGCUAUCACAUCAAAGCACAACAGCCACUACCCAAAAAGGGGCUGUGUUUCUCCGUAUAAGUGAUAAAAUCUUUCCCAGAAGCUCCUGCAGACUUCUCCUGCUGUUCCACUGGCCAAAAUUUUAUCACAUGCCCCUUCCCAUACCAAAUCACUGGAGGGGCAGAAAACCUAUCAAAAAUGGCUUAGACCAAUCAUGUCCUGCCCCCUGGAACUGGGGAUGAGGCCUAUGCUCUGAGCACGAGCUAUGCAGAGGAGAGAGGCUCCUGGACAAGUCAGGGCUCAUCGAGGAAGGGCAGGUGGGCAAAUGAAUGCUGGGUGGCAACUGACAACGUCUGCCACCAAUUCCUAAUGACAUCCAUUGUGUUUGAAGUUGAUUAAUUUGACUCACCCAGGGCAACUUCAUUUCUGAAUUAUUGAAGGAAAGAAACAUUUCAGUGUAGUCCGUUCUCCCUUAUUAAAAACUUGUUUAUUCAA